AACGUAGGUUCCGAGCGUUAUCCGGAUUUACUGGGCGUAAAGCGCGUUCAGGCGGUUUGGCAAGUCGGGCAUGAAAUCUCUCGGCUCAACCGGGAGAGGUUGUCCGAUACUGUUAGACUGGAGGGCAGUAGAGGGUGGUGGAAUUCCGGGUGUAGUGGUGAAAUGCGUAGAGAUCCGGAGGAACACCAGUGGCGAAAGCGGCCACCUGGACUGCACCUGACGCUGAGACACGAAAGCGUGGGUAGCAAACAGG
rnacentral:rRNA from 1 species